UGGGGGAUAUUGCACAAUGGGCGAAAGCCUGAUGCAGCGACGCCGCGUGGGGGAUGAAGGCUUUCGGGUUGUAAACCUCUUUCGCUAUCGAACAAGGCCCGCUUAGGGUGGGUUGAGGGUAGGUGGAGAAGAAGCGCCGGCUAACUACGUGCCAGCAGCCGCGGUAAUACGUAGGGCGCGAGCGUUGUCCGGAAUUAUUGGGCGUAAAGGGCUUGUAGGCGGCUUGUUGCGCCUGCUGUGAAAACGCGGGGCUUAACUUCGCGCGUGCAGUGGGUACGGGCAGGCUUGAGUGUGGUAGGGGUGACUGGAAUUCCAGGUGUAGCGGUGGAAUGCGCAGAUAUCUGGGGGAACACCGUUGGCGAAGGGAGGUCACUGGGCCAUUACUGACGCUGAGGAGCGAAAGCAUGGGUAGCGAACAGG
rnacentral:rRNA from 1 species